rfam:Brassica oleracea var. oleracea cultivar TO1000 chromosome C9, whole genome shotgun sequence
GGUCAUGUAGCUCAGUUGGUUAGAGCAUUGGUCUUAUGAGCCAAAGGUUCAAGCCUCGCCAGGGCCA